UACGGGGGGAGCAAGCGUUGUUCGGAUUUAUUGGGCGUAAAGAGCUCGUAGGCGGCUCCGUAAGUCAGAGGUGAAAUCCCACGGCUCACCCGUGGACACGCCUUUGAAACUGCGGAGCUUGAGGCCCGGAGAGGAAAGCGGAAUUCCUGGAGUAGCGGUGAAAUGCGUAGAUAUCAGGAGGAACACCAGUGGCGAAGGCGGCUUUCUGGACGGGUACUGACGCUGAGGAGCGAAAGCUAGGGGAGCAAACAGG
rnacentral:rRNA from 1 species